rnacentral:rRNA from 1 species
CAACACAUGCAAGUCGAGGGGCAUCAGGAAGCCUUCUAGCGUUCUUUGCUGGCGACCGGCGCACGGGUGAGUAACACGUAUCCAACCUGCCCUUUACUCGGGGAUAGCCUUUCGAAAGAAAGAUUAAUACCCGAUAGCAUAAUGAUUCCGCAUGGUUUCAUUAUUAAAGGAUUCCGGUAAAGGAUGGGGAUGCGUUCCAUUAGGUUGUUGGUGAGGUAACGGCCCACCAAGCCUUCGAUGGAUAGGGGUUCUGAGAGGAAGGUCCCCCACAUUGGAACUGAGACACGGUCCAAACUCCUACGGGAGGCAGCAGUGAGGAAUAUUGGUCAAUGGGCGCUAGCCUGAACCAGCCAAGUAGCGUGAAGGAUGAAGGCUCUAUGGGUCGUAAACUUCUUUUAUAUAAGAAUAAAGUGCAGUAUGUAUACUGUUUUGUAUGUAUUAUAUGAAUAAGGAUCGGCUAACUCCGUGCCAGCAGCCGCGGUAAUACGGAGGAUCCGAGCGUUAUCCGGAUUUAUUGGGUUUAAAGGGAGCGUAGGUGGACUGGUAAGUCAGUUGUGAAAGUUUGCGGCUCAACCGUAAAAUUGCAGUUGAUACUGUCAGUCUUGAGUACAGUAGAGGUGGGCGGAAUUCGUGGUGUAGCGGUGAAAUGCUUAGAUAUCACGAAGAACUCCGAUUGCGAAGGCAGCUCACUGGACUGCAACUGACACUGAUGCUCGAAAGUGUGGGUAUCAAACAGGAUUAGAUACCCUGGUAGUCCACACAGUAAACGAUGAAUACUCGCUGUUUGCGAUAUACAGUAAGCGGCCAAGCGAAAGCAUUAAGUAUUCCACCUGGGGAGUACGCCGGCAACGGUGAAACUCAAAGGAAUUGACGGGGGCCCGCACAAGCGGAGGAACAUGUGGUUUAAUUCGAUGAUACGCGAGGAACCUUACCCGGGCUUAAAUUGCAGUGGAAUGAUGUGGAAACAUGUCAGUGAGCAAUCACCGCUGUGAAGGUGCUGCAUGGUUGUCGUCAGCUCGUGCCGUGAGGUGUCGGCUUAAGUGCCAUAACGAGCGCAACCCUUAUCUUCAGUUACUAACAGGUUAUGCUGAGGACUCUGGAGAGACUGCCGUCGUAAGAUGUGAGGAAGGUGGGGAUGACGUCAAAUCAGCACGGCCCUUACGUCCGGGGCUACACACGUGUUACAAUGGGGGGUACAGAAGGCAGCUACCUGGUGACAGGAUGCUAAUCCCAAAAGCCUCUCUCAGUUCGGAUCGAAGUCUGCAACCCGACUUCGUGAAGCUGGAUUCGCUAGUAAUCGCGCAUCAGCCACGGCGCGGUGAAUACGUUCCCGGGCCUUGUACACACCGCCCGUCAAGCCAUGGGAGCCGGGGGUACCUGAAGUACGUAACCGCAAGGAUCGUCCUAGGGUAAAACUGGUGAC